UUAUGUAAGAGCUUAGACGUGGCUCAGGAGUACGCUAUCUAGUGGGUUACACAUGUAAGUCAUAUGAAGACUUCUAUUCUGUCUUCAUGGCGACCGGGUGAGUAAUAAAUAGGAAUCUUCCUAUAGGAAGGGUUGAAUGCCCAUAAUUUAAAAGAAAGGAACUUUUCCGCCUGUAGAUGAGCCUAUUUAGUAAUAGAUAGUUGGUGGUGGUAAUGGCCUACCAAGUCUAUAAUGCUUAGUUGGUUUGAGAGAACGACCAACCACAGUGGCACUGAAAUAAGGGUCACCCGAAAAAUGUUCGGCAGCAGUGAGGAAUAUUGGACAAUGAGGGCAACCUUGAUCCAGCCAACUACGAAGGGUCAUACCUAAUUCUGUAAAAAUCCUAUCGGAGAGGAGCAUAAUGAGUUAACUCUCCUAUCAGUCCCGACUAACCUCGUGCCAGCAGUCGCGGUAAUACGAGGGGGGCUAGCGUUAUCCGUCUUGAAUGGGCCUAAAGUGUCUGUAGGCUGCUUGUAAAGGUAAAAAGUAUUACAACUAGCAAGCUAGAGUGGAAUUGGGGAAUCAGGGAACUCCAGGAGUAGGGAUAGAAUCCGGUGAUCCCUGGAAGACCGCUAUGGCGAAGGCCCUAUUCUAAGUAACCACUGACGCUGAGAGACUAGAGUGUGGGGAGCGAAGAGGAUUAGAUACCCUCGUAGUCCACACCUUAAACGAUGGAGGCUAUAGGUUGGGAUUCUUCCUUUAACUCAAUUUAAAGGAUAAUUCUCAUCCUAGAAGCGAAGGCAUUAAGCCUCCCGCCUGGGGAGUAUGAAGGCAACUUUGAAACCCAAACGUCUAGACGGCCUUAAAGACCAGCAGUGAAGCAUGUUGUUUAAAUCGAUACUCCGCGAAAAACCUUACCACUCCUUGUAUGUUACACAGGUGUUGCAUGGCUGUCUUGAGUUCGUGCCGCGAGGUGUCAGGUUAAUUCCGCUAACGAACGAAACCCCUCCUGUUAGUUAUACUUACUUUCAUUUUAACAUAAACUACACUAUUAAUGAGCUUCAAAAAUUGUUUCCACAAACUAAUUUAGUAGCCUAGUAGCUACAGUCUAGACUCUUUUGAAAGUCAAUCUAAUAGGGUAUGGUACUAAAAGUGCCAUUAAUUGGGGACGGCGACAAGCCCUCAUGGCCCUUAUGGAGUGGGCUAUAGUAACGUGCCACAAAAUCUUUAACAAUGGGAGACAAUGGUGUGAGCCGGAGAUAAUCCCGAACGAAAGAUAAUGGUUCGGAUUGUAGACUGAAACUCGUCUUCAUGAAGAAGGAAUUGCUAAGUAAUCUGCGCAUCAGCACGGCGCGGUGAAAAUUACUUUUAAGGCGCACUAAUUGUCCAUCAGGCGGGGGAAGUUGAAAUCAUCGGAAACUUUCUAAGCUUUUCUAGCAGUUUAGGGAAUUCUCUUUGCUGUUAGUAAGAGCCUCUGGGGAGUCAAGAGAUUUUGGCGACUUCUGUUAAGUUGUAGCAAAGUAGGGCUAGAGGAAUCUGGCCCUGAAAUGAAUAAAUC
rfam:Rhizophagus irregularis DAOM 181602 strain DAOM 197198 GLOINscaffold_588_Cont592 mitochondrial, whole genome shotgun sequence.